rnacentral:lncRNA from 1 species
UGUCAAUGAGAUUCCUUUUGGCAGUAAUAUAUUCUGCGGAUUAAGUUAAACCAAAUGUUUGUAACAAUGGAAAUUUAUUCAUGUUAACAGUUAGGAUUAUCAUCCCAGUGAAUAUUUACUAUAGUUACAGUCAAAUUUACUCUUUUGGACAUUGCUUAUUUUCAUUUCUUUGUUAUAAACUCCACUAAAAGCAAUAGAAAGCAUCCUUUAACAUUUUUAAAGUGCUGCAAUUUAUUUUCUUUUAAACUGGUUUUUUUCUUUUUUUUUUUUUUUUUUUUUUUUUUAGGGGCUACUCUCCCUUUGCCCAUACAGUGAUGGCAGUGAGCAAUAAAAGUUCUGGUUGAGAAAGUUCUGUAAGUUAUUUGGCCACAUUUGAGCUCACCAUGGCUGGAUACUACAUGGCAUUUGUCCUUUGAUUUCAAUCUGUUUCCUGCCACUUGGUUACUUUGUGGUCACGUGGGUGAAAAAGAGGGCCAGUGUUGACUUUAUAGCUUGAGAGCUUAUCUCUCUGUUUCCUGUACCUAGAGAGAGAUGGUGCAGGUACAGAAAAGUCCAUACAUACAUAACCUUCCAUGAAACAAGCCUUCUGCUAGCUUCUGCAGUCACUCUGGCAAUUUGUGGUUGCAGAAUUCAGCAAGACUAAGAACUAGUGCUGUGUAUCACAAGCGCACUUUGUUCUUUAGAGAACUUUGCUCUGAAAUUGUUCUAACUCUAUAUUUUUGUCAGUUGGUAUUUUUGUCAGCUUUUUUAUCUCAGGCUGUAAGUGACACUUUAUCAUGUUUUCAGUCUGUAGAAUGAAAGAAAGAGAAUGAUAGAUAAUUUGCACUUUGGGUUGCUUUGCUGUUUGUUUGUUUGUUUGUUUCAUCACUCUUGGCUAUAUAGACACAAGAGUGACAAGUAUUCCCCCACAAUGAAGAGUGGAGAGGAGCUUCAUGAGUGGCUUCAGAGCACCUAUGACUCAGAUGCCUUGAGAGGGUCCCCACAGAGCCUUGCAUGUAGGUGAGAUGGUUCCUCACUCUUCCCGGCUACCACACCACAGCAAGCUCAGAGAAAACCAAGAGGGAUGGUUGUAACAAUGGAAAUUUGCUCAUGUUAACAGUUGGGAUUUUCAUCCCAGUUAAUAUUGACUGUAGUUACAUUCAAAUUUACUCUUGUGGACACUGUUUGACCAGUGGAGGAGGAAACUCAUUUAUUCCCAAGUCACUCCCAAGCCAUCAAACAAACACCAGCUGCAGAAGAGAGCAGUUGCCCAGUGGCCCCACACCUUCCAGCUAACUGUUCCUUAAGCAUGAACUGAUUGCCCAUCUUCCUAUUACUUGGUGGCUGUUAACCAUAGUUGCAUCUAUAAUUACCUGCAAAGCUCUUUAGAACACUGAUACUAAGGUUCCAAUCCAAACCAACUAAAUCAGAAUCUUUGGGGAAGAGUCAUGAACAUUCCUAUGUGUUAGUAGCUCCCCAGGUGAUUUCCACUUACCAAAGUACCUUCUCUGUACUAAGUCUUUGACCUCAUAGAGAUCUUUGACCCAUUGGCCCUGUUGCUUUUUCACUAAUCAUCACAUCAUCACUCUCAUUUCCUCAUAUCCAGAUUCCCAUGGUCCAUAAUUAUAAUCAUUUCCAUGAUUAUAGAAAUUUCUCCAUUUCUCCCCAUUAUUAUACUUUCCUGGUAAAGUCCCCUAACAGGGUUAAACUCAUUGCCACAGCUACUCUAUACCUGGACCAAAUCUCCUGAACAUUCCCAUGGAAAAACACAUGACCAACCAUGUUAACCACUUAAUUUUAGAUCCAUGUUUUAGAAAAUCCAUGGUUUAGAAACCAUGUUCAAAGGAACCUGAAAUUUUGUCCUUAUGUUAAAAAGUCUUUACAGGUUCCAUGUAUGAAAUAAUAACAAAUCUCAAUUGGACACAUAGCACAGCUCAAAAAUCCUAUUAUGCUUUCAGGUUUUAAAUUUCCCAUACUACAGCUUCUAUUCUCGCUCUCAAAUCUCCUAUAUUCCCUUUCUCUCCCCACCACUCUUGGCUGAUGAUCUGGCCUCAUCAUUGACUGGGAAAAAUACAGAAAUCAGAGGAGAUUCCUUAUACCUCCAAACCUGCAAAACCACCCACAUCUGUAUUCACACUUUUUGCCCUCCCUCCAUUUGCUAUUCAUUAAGCAUCCCUGUUCCUAUGAAAGGCCAGCCCUCCUCUUUGAUCUGGAUCUCUCCUUCUCUUAUCUGUUGGGGACUUCAUUCCUCCCUUCAUAAGCAUACGUUGCUAAUUUCUUCCCAGAACUUACAAAUAAGCAUGUUUUAGUAUCUUCCAUCUUAAAACAAAACAAACCUUUCACAAUUCUACAUCCAUCUUAGCUAUCAUACCAUGUCCUUGCUUCUCUUCACUUUAAAACUUCUUUAAAAAGGCUUGUCUUUAGUCACUCGCCCCACUUCCUCGAUACUCUAGUAAAAACACUAUUAUCAAGGUCAGCCUUAGCUUGCAACCAUCUUUUCUUUGAUAUCUAAAAGGAAUCUCAAGCUUAACAUGUCCACAAACAAUCUCUUUUUUCUAGCACUGCAAAACAAUGUGGGCCUUCCUCAGUCUUCCUAUUUCACUCAAUGGCAGCCUUAUCCACUGAGUUAAGCCUUUUUCUUCUUUAUCUCAUGCCCGAUGUAUAAUCCGUCAAAGUGUUUUGUUGGCCAUUCUUCCAAAAUAUAUCAUGAAUCCAGUCACCUCUCUCCAUUUCUUACCACUCCAAUACAAUCACCAUGAUUCCUCACUUGGACAGUCUCCUCUCUUCCACACCUGUCUCAUGGCAUCCAUUUUCUGUACAGCGGCGUGGGUAGUCUUUUAAAAGCCUAGAUGAGAUCAGUUCAUGUCCAAUAGCUUCCUAUUAUUCUUAGAAUAUAUUUAAACUUUUUCCUGGGUCUGCAUGACCUGACUCUUGCCUACUCCUCCAACCUCAUCUCAGAUCACUCCUACCACCCACUCCCAGUUUGCCCCAGCAUAGAGGGCCCCUGGAUGGUCCAAAAUCACUCCGUACUCAGACAAAACUCAAACCCUUUAGCUCAGCUUGUUCUACCUAAAAUUCUUGCACCCCAGACCUUCUUUUGGCCAGCUCCUUCUUAUCUCAGCUCAACAGUCACUUCCUCUCCCUGACCACUCACUCUAAAGUAGCCACCACCUAACACAUCACUUUUUAUUACAUUAUUUAGUUUUCUUCAUGGCAAAAAAAAAAAAAAAGAAGAAGAAGAAGUGAUUUUAGUUUCCAUUCCAAAAGUAGGUAAAGCUACUUUUAAAAAUAUCCUCCAGCAAUUUGUGUGAAAAAGGAAAUGCUGGGCCAGUCGUGGUGGCUCACACCUGUAAUCCCAGCACUUUGGGAGGCCGAGGCAGGUGGAUCACCUGAGGUCAGGAGUUUGAGACCAGCCUGGCCUACAUGGUGAAACAUACAUGAUAAAAAUAUAAAAUUAGCCCAGUGUGGUGGCGCAUGCCUGUAAUCCCAGCACUUUGGGAGGCCGAGGUGGGUGGAUCAUGAGGUCGGGAGUUCAAGACCAGCCUGACCAACAUGGUGAAACCCCAUCUCUACUAAAAAUACAAAAAUUAGCUGGGCAUGGUGGCGCACACCUGUAUUCCCAGCUACUCAGGAGUCUGAGGCAGGAGAAUUGCUUGAACACAGGAGACAGAGGUUGCAGUGAGCCGAGAUCGCACCAAUGCACUCCAGCCUGGGCGACAGAGCAAGAUUUCAUCUCAAAAAUAACAAUAAUAAUAAUAAUAAUACCCGACCUUUAAGAGCACUUCCUGAAUUGCGCAGGUAAGUAUUACUGACUUUCUCAAAUGGCCUUUGGAGAGGUUUGAGAUUUAGUGAGAAUAAUCACAAUUUUAGUUGUAGCUCUGACUAUUCAGGUCCUUUGACUAGGUCACAUGGCCCAAAGAAUUUUGGAUCAUAUAUUCUAUGUUUCUCUGUCUCCACAAGAAGCACCAGCUCAGGGGACUCCUUUUUGUGACAGUGUUUAACCUACCAGUGUCUAUGAUUUGGAGCAAGCUUAAUGAUAAUCUAAAGGAUGAUCUGGUCCUUACUUCUUAUAGUGUAAAAGUCCUCACAUGGUUAAUUUAAGAAAUGACUCUUUUAUACAUUAAAUUUCCUUUUAAUAAAAGGAUAUAACUAAUUUUGUCUCCUUCUAAGUGAUAGCACCACUUCUGCUUCAGAAGCUAAUUAGGAGAUGCCCAGUUUGAGUUCUUUGAUACCAUUGAUGAAUGAGAAAUGUACAUGGGUAAUUUUUCUUUACUGCUAAUAGAAGUUAAACAGCACAUGUCCUGUGGAAUAAAAUUCUCUUCCCUGCAAUAAUAAUAGCUGUUUUGUUUUGACUUCAGAAAUUCUGAAAUCUGUGUGUAGCCAACAGUAAUUACUGCUCAUUACAAUAAUCACCAUCGACUUGAUCAGUCCCCUGGAACACAAGUCAGGACCUAAGGAAAUGGAUUUUUACCUAGGGUGAUGAAGAAUUUUACCUGAGGCCCAGGGCAGCCUCUCUGGGAGCCAAAUUUGGUGACUGAUACUAGAAGCUGUUAAUAUGUUGAAUUCCUAAGUCAGAAUUUUUGUUUUAAGUGUUUUCUGAGUGAAACCAUAUUCAAAGGAACCUGAAAUUUUGACCUCAUGUUAAAAAUUCUUUACAGGUUCCAUGUAUGAAAUAAUAAAAAGAGCAAGUGUGAAUAAGUGAGAAGUUUGUCAAGCAAGGAAAGUAAUAGCAGCAACCAUAUUACAGAGAUGUGGAGACCAACCUCUACUUCUUGGUUUAGGGGUUCCCUUCAAAAUAACAUGUAUGGCUAGGAGAGGGGUAGGUGUUGGAGUGAAAGCAAGCAUUGGGGGUGGCGUACAGAAUGAAAUCAUAAAGUCUCAGGAUUGACAUGGAUCUGAGGCUUAAAUCCCCUUUCCAGUAUUAGAGUGAACCUUUACUAUGUGCCAAACAUUAGGUAUAUUUAGAGUUCAGAAGCAAAGGAGUUGGCUCUGUCUUUAAGGAGUUCAUAGUUUUGACCAGACUAUCGGUUCAGAUGCAUUCUUUCAGGAAGGCAUUCAGCUACAUUCAAAUAAAAAACAAAAACGCAUUUACAGAGGCUUAACUAAAUAGAGUAAUUUUCCUCCCAAAUGUUAGGUCCAGAGGUGGGCAACUCAGAGCCAUUCAGGCUCUGGCUCCAAAUAUCUUUGUGCUCCACCAUCAUUAAUAUAUGACUUCCUUCCACAAGCUAGUCACUCAUGGGUGCCAGGUAGCAGCUCUACUCCAGCUGCAUGCCUCCUGCCAGGAAAGAAAGGAGAGAAAGAACAAAGAGGAGGGUAAGAAAGCUGCCUGAAUCAGGAAAAUAAAAUCUUUCCCAGAAAUCUCUAGCAGACAUUGAUUUCUGUCUCCUGGCCAGAAUUGUGUAGUAAGGCCACUCUAUCUGCAAAGAAUUUUGGGAAGGUAAGUACUUAAGCUAGGCAUAUUGCCACUCCAAGCAAAAAUAGAGACUCUUGUAAGAAAAAAAAAAUGGGAGAAUGGGGAUUGGUUAACAAGCAGCAUCUGCCAUAGACCAACAAGAACACUGACAAUGAAACCAUGGUAUAAUUUGUACAUAAUACAAAUUUCAUGCAGAAAAGCACAGAACUCUCUAUCUUCAGGUUAGGGGGAGGUGUCAUGGAGGGUUUCACUGAGGAGGGUAACAUUUGGCUGAGUCUCAAAGAAUGAAUUAAAUUGUCAAAGUACAAAAGAAAAAUAGUUGUUCAUCAAAAUAUUUUUAUUUGCCACUGGCAGAAAUGUAGCUUGAACCCAAAAGUACCAAGGUAAGGUUUCAAGCAUUGCUGGCUCCAGUCACCCAAUUGAUGUCACCAAGACCCAAUCUCUCUCUCUCUUUCUCUCCAUCCUUUGAUUCUAUAAUAGCCAGCAAGCAGCUCCAGAUUUACAUUACACCCUAUCAGCAGCUUUAGCAGUUCCAAUAAAGCUCUGAGUAUGCAUCUCACUGGAACAACUUGGGAUAUGUGUCCAUCACUCUGACCUAUCUCCUUGGACAGGAAAAUGAGAUAUGUUGAUUGGACAAGGCUGGGCUCCAUGUCCACCUCUGGAAUAUUAUUCAAAACACUUGAACUAAAAGCAAGAAAGAAGGUUCUCCAAAGGAAAACUGUGAAACCUUGGCUGAGUACAAGUAUAUGCUGUCCUUCCGAGGCCUUCUGCAGCAGGGAAGAUUGGCCCUGCCCCAAUUUCAGAGGAUGAAUCCUGAUUGGUCUAAGAUCACCACACUAGUCCUGUUGCCUUCACAGUGACUAGUGAAGCAUGUGCUUGUGUGAUUUUAGAAGUCAGCUGGGAAGCAACUGGGAAGAAUUUCCUUACUCAAAAAGAAGCACAAGAGAGAGGCCAUCUAGUAUUUCUUAGAGGUUAUCUUAUCUGCAUGUAGCCUGCAAUUGCUAUAACUACCUUGCCACCUUGAAGUAAGCUAGCCUGAAGAUAGCCAAUAUACUGGAUAAAACUUUUGUUUAAAGAUUUAUCUGCUUAAUAUUAUCUCUUCUGAAAGGUAGCUGUACUCCAUAAAUCAGAUUGUGAAUCAGCUUCUUGUUUGAUAAGCGAAGAUAUCAAACAUCAAAUUGGUUGUUGCAAAUCAAAUGUUCACAUCAAUAUGUUUUUUGUUCCACAUCUAAUCAGGAGUGGUGGUAAUCUGUCUAGAAUAAUUUCCAAAGCUGUGUUUAGGUGUGGAUUUAUUUAAUGCAUUUGAGAGCACAAAACUUCUCAGGGUAGAUAUGUAGAACUAAUAACAUAAUUGGAAACUUAUUAAGGAGUGACGUUUUAUUUAGAUAUUCUUUAGUCUACAGAAAAUGAGUGAAUAGAACCACAUAUUACUAAUUUAAAACAAUUAUCCAGCUAAUUUGCUUUUUUGAAUAGUGUGAGUUUAAGUUUUGAUAUUUAUUAGUGUAAUAUCCCUAUGGAACCAUUUAAUCAUAGAAGACUAAUCUUUCCCUACAACAUUCUCUCCUAAAUAAGACUUUCCUGAGAAACAAACUAGAAUAUUUUUAUUCUUGAACCGAGGACUCACUUAUCUUAUCUAGGCUGACUUACUGGAUAAGGCCAUAGCAUCAGUCUAUGUGAAUCACCCAAUUUUCAUAUUAUCCAAAGAUACAUUCUUUUCAACAGUGCAGCCUCUUCAGCAAUCAGUUCCAAAAUAUGUAGGUCAAAGGGGGAACUGAGUGAGAGGAUGCAAUGGCUUAAUUCCAUGUGUAAUCACUCACAGAAAAGUCACACACACACACACACACACACACACAGACAAAAAUGUCCUCUGACAGUUACUGGCAUCAUGUUUAGAUAUGAGAUGGUGUGCUUAGAACACGGCUUCAGAAAUCAAUACAUCAACAAUUAGCUGGGCAUGGGUCAUUGUACCUUAAAAAGAAUAACAAUGGGGUGGCAUUGCCCGAGAAGACCAACUGUCUGGUUACCUGACAGGUGGGCAUUACCUUCAUGACAUCACAGAAGUGAAAGGAAUGAUCCCUGGCUCUAUAAUUUUUUUUCUGGAGACAGAGUCUCACUUUGUCACCCAGGCUGGAGUGCAGUGGCAUAAACAUGACUCACUGCAGACUUGACCUCCUGGACUCAAGUGAUCCUCCCACCUCAGCCCCCCAAGUAGCUGGGACUACAGGUAUGAGCCACCAUGCCUGGCUAAUUUUUGUAUUUUUUGUAGAGACAGGGUUUCACGUGGCUGGCCUGGAACUCCUGGGCUCAAGCAAGCCCCUUCCACCCACUAGUUUUCCAACGUGCUGGGAUUACAAGCAUGAGCCACUAUGCCAGCCUAGAUUUAAAAAUUUGAUCUCCACAGUGCAUCAGAGUUAUCAAGAAGACUACUUCAUGAUAAACACACAGGGGACUGAUAUGUAAAUUAGAAUGCCAUUUAUUCAUUUAAAUAGGAAAUAUGACUGUGACAAAAGAAUGAUCAUUUUGGCAUGUCCCGUGGUCUUAGUUCAUUUCUGCUGCUGCAACAAAAUACCUUAGACUGGGUAGUUUACAAACAGCAGAAAUUUAUUGGUCAUAGCUCUGGAGGCUAGGCAGACCAAGAUCAAGGCACCAGCAGAUUCAGCGUCUGCUUUAUAGAUGGAGCCUCCUUGCUAUGUCCUCACAUGGCAGAAGAGGGCACACAGGCUCCCUCAAGCCUCUUUUAUAAGGGCACUAAUCCCAUUCAUAAUCCCCUCCCACAGGCCCCAACUCUUUAUAACAUCACCUUGGGGAGUUAGGUUUCAAUAUAUGAAUUUCAGGGGAAGGGGACAGAAACACUCAAACCACAGCACCUGUACGUGCCUUGUAGGUAGUUAAUAUUUAAAUCAAAUUAUAACCAGAAGAUUGCUUGGUGAGCAGUAAGAAAUUUGAAUGAAUGGAUUUAUUUUAUAUGAUUCAAAUCUUUGAUGGCCCUGGAUUUUGAUAGCCUAAUUCAGUCAUUUUCAAAAUCUAUUAUUAUUUUAUCAACAAUAGGACAUAUUUUUAGGAUAAAGUCUUACAAAGAACACAUAUACAGGUAUAUAGAUAUAAACAUAUAGAUACCUCGGCCUUCUCUCUCUCUGUUCUGAUUGAACUAAGGUAGCCUAUUCAGAUCCCCACAUGCUCAGCAACCCCAUAUACUGGAGGGAACCAGCAGAGGAUGGGGAGAGGAAUUCCAGUAAUGAGGGAACAUAUGCAGAGAUACAGAAGCAUGACAGAUGGUGGCACAUUCUGGAAACUACAAGUGGUUGGAUAAGAAUGGAAUAUAGUAUUUGUGAGGGGAUGGAGAGAGAGGAGGCGGUAAGAGGUCAGGCUGAAGAAGCAAGCAAGAAAAAAACGAUGAAGGAAAGACUUUGUAGACUUUGCUAAAUUAUUUAGAUCUUAUAUAGAAAGCUAUGGAAAGCCUUAAAAGUAUGUUCAGGGGGCCAUAGCAUGAUCAAAUUUCAGUUUUGGAAAUAUCACUAUGGCUGAAAAAUAGAAAAUUAGGUUAUCAGGAAGGGUACAAUAUAUGCAAGGAAUAUCGAAGGCCUGAAUCCCAUGUUCCUAUUGCCCCACCCUUACCGCUUUACCCCUAGGACUUCACUGCCAUAACCAGUCUUCCAGAUGCCAGCACCUGCAUUGCAUCACCUGAGAGCUAUCUCCUACUGCUGGAGCCCACUUUGUUGGCUGUGGCAGGCUUGAAGUGUCAGAGAAUGAAUGUCCCAGCAACAUCUUCUAUAUCAGUGACAAAGAGACUGGUGUAUAACUCUGGAGCAUGUGUUAGUCCCAGUUGGGAUUAAACUCCAGUGGCCCACGGUGGUAGCCAUCUUGACAACAGAACUUUUGGCUAUUUGCCCUUCCUUGUCUCACUUCCCCACUCUUCUAUCCUUGUGGUUCUCACCUCCCAAAUAAAUUAUUUGCACUCA